rnacentral:rRNA from 1 species
CAGCUUGCUGGAUGCUGACGAGCGGCGGACGGGUGAGUAAUGCAUAGGAAUCUGCCCGGUAGUGGGGGAUAACCUGGGGAAACCCAGGCUAAUACCGCAUACGUCCUACGGGAGAAAGGGGGCUUCGGCUCCCGCUAUCGGAUGAGCCUAUGUCGGAUUAGCUAGUUGGUGAGGUAACGGCUCACCAAGGCCACGAUCCGUAGCUGGUCUGAGAGGAUGAUCAGCCACAUCGGGACUGAGACAUGGCCCGAACUCCUACGGGAGGCAGCAGUGGGGAAUAUUGGACAAUGGGGGAAACCCUGAUCCAGCCAUGCCGCGUGUGUGAAGAAGGCCCUCGGGUUGUAAAGCACUUUCAGCGAGGAAGAACGCCUAGCGGUUAAUACCCGCUAGGAAAGACAUCACUCGCAGAAGAAGCACCGGCUAACUCCGUGCCAGCAGCCGCGGUAAUACGGAGGGUGCAAGCGUUAAUCGGAAUUACUGGGCGUAAAGCGCGCGUAGGUGGCUUGAUAAGCCGGUUGUGAAAGCCCCGGGCUCAACCUGGGAACGGCAUCCGGAACUGUCAAGCUAGAGUGCAGGAGAGGAAGGUAGAAUUCCCGGUGUAGCGGUGAAAUGCGUAGAGAUCGGGAGGAAUACCAGUGGCGAAGGCGGC